rnacentral:rRNA from 1 species
GACGAACGCUGGCGGCGUGCUUAACACAUGAAGUCGAACGGAAAGGCCCUGCUUUUGUGGGGUGCUCGAGUGGCGAACGGGUGAGUAACACGUGAGUAACCUGCCCUUGACUUUGGGAUAACUUCAGGAAACUGGGGCUAAUACCGGAUAGGAGCUCCUGCUGCAUGGUGGGGGUUGGAAAGUUUCGGCGGUUGGGGAUGGACUCGCGGCUUAUCAGCUUGUUGGUGGGGUAGUGGCUUACCAAGGCUUUGACGGGUAGCCGGCCUGAGAGGGUGACCGGCCACAUUGGGACUGAGAUACGGCCCAGACUCCUACGGGAGGCAGCAGUGGGGAAUAUUGCACAAUGGGCGGAAGCCUGAUGCAGCAACGCCGCGUGCGGGAUGACGGCCUUCGGGUUGUAAACCGCUUUCGCCUGUGACGAAGCGUGAGUGACGGUAAUGGGUAAAGAAGCACCGGCUAACUACGUG